CCUGGAACUCGUACAAUCACCAGAGUUAAGCAACACUGAGCCUGGUCAGUACCUAGAUGGGUGAUUGCUUGGGAAUACCAGGUGCUGUAA